GACGAAGGGGGCUAGCGUUGUUCGGAAUUACUGGGCGUAAAGCGCGUGUAGGCGGUUGCCAAAGUCGGGUGUGAAAGCCUUGAGCUCAACUCAAGAAUUGCACUCGAUACUUGGUGACUAGAGGACCGGAGAGGAUAGUGGAAUUCCCAGUGUAGUGGUGAAAUACGUAGAGAUUGGGAAGAACACCAGUGGCGAAGGCGGCUAGCUGGAUAGGCACUGACACUCAACUACGAAAGCGUGGGGAGCAAACAGG
rnacentral:rRNA from 1 species